AUAAUUCUUUAAUUAUCGACAGAAAAAAGUGAAGUUAUGAGUUGUAUGACAAUAACUCAUGCAAUGGUACAACAAUUGUCUCAUAGUCCUAAAUCUUAGCUCAUGAGACGGUUGUUUCGCGGAACAAUGACAUCAUUUUCUGUCUCCUCUUUCUUUCCUCCAUAUCAGCAAAAAUCCUACGUGGCAAUGCAUAAGUCAGAGUAUGAGACUGCUUAUAUGUAGCAAUAUACUUGCCCUAAGUUGUCUAAAAGAAACAUCAACAUGGCCCCUACUUAAGCCCUCAAAACUAAAUUUAAGGUCCAAAGUAAAAAAAAAGGAGCUCCAACAGCUAAAAUAUGAGAGGACCCUCAAUCUCCAUCUUAGCCCUUAUUCCUAGAGACUCUACUUUAGGCCCUCAAAAGACGCUUGUCGUGGUUGUUUCCCUCCCCCCACUCACGGAAUCGUGUCUGCCCGUCUGUCCGUGCUUGUUUGCAUCUAAUGUCGUGCCACCUACUCCACCAUCUUCGGUGAAGUCCCCCCUUGAUGCAGCCCCACACCCCAAUGGUGCAUCUCGAUCCCCUUACCGAGCCAUCACUAGUACAGGAAUUUUAAUGGAGGCGAUUGUUUUUGGUUAAUGGAGGCGGGUCAAUCCAACCACUCCAAUGAAAGGCCUCGGUUAAUCGAUGGAUAACCGAGGCUGUUACACUACCCACCUCUAUUAGUAAGAUUAACGGAGGUAGACACUUUAUAAUGCCCGCCUCAAUUAAUCGAUCAGAAAAAAUAAAAAAAAAAGAAAAAAGCCCACCUCGACAAAUCCCCAUCGCAUGGUAGACCCAAGCAAGGUCAUCGGCUCACCGCCUCACUGCUUGCUCCUCUCUCUAGGGCAACGAGGUCCCCUGCUUGCUCCUCUCCCCAGGUAACUCACUCUGGCGCCUGCUCGCCCGAGAUAUUUGUCGUUUGCUCCUCUCUCCGAUGACUCCCUCCACUUGGUUCUCCGUCAAACGAGUUCUAUCGCCUGCUCCUCUACUAGGAGCCCCCACUCCCUCAGGCAGCUCCUCUUGUCCUUCAAUGGUGAGAUCCAUCGACUGCUCCUCUCCUCGAAUGGCCCUCCCUCGGAUGACGCCCUCGGUGUUCCUCUCUAUAGCCUUGUGUUGACAUAGCUCAAUUGAUGAGAGUGUGUCUUGGGUCUCGAAUGUCAGUGUCUACUAAAAUGUAUUUGAGAGUUUUCAUUUGAGACUGUUGUUGGAGCUGAUGAAAAAAAUUAGACACUCAAAAGUCUAGAGAUCCAUCAAAUCAAAAGUAGAGGCCCUGAUUAAGGCUGUAGAUAGAGUUGCUCUAGGAUGGUGCAUUUUACUUACCAUGUAUAUGUAAUUUUUUUAAAAUAUGAAUAAUUGAAUGUAGUGGGCUCACUCUCAUGAUAUUAGAUACCUAGGACGAAUGCAAUAAUUUACAUUUGAAUACAUAGUAGUCAUCUUGCCAAAAAAGGCAAGUCUCAAUGGGAUUUCUUAGAGUUUUAUGAGCAUUAAAUAUGAUGAUAUGAUAAUAUAUUAAUGAAGAGAGAUAUGAUAGGAUAGGUUGAAAGUGAGACAUGAAAUCUUCGGUCGAGACUAGCAAGCCACAAUGAAUCCUGCCACGCCUACGCAACAACCACGCACCCUUUUUGACAAAAAACACACCGGCUAUCUGGGCCCCACCCCCACCCCG
rnacentral:lncRNA from 1 species